CACACUUAGAGGAAGUGCUGUCUGAGCUCUCAUCCUCCUGCUUUUGCUCUCGUGCUCUACUUCUGCUUCCUGUUCUUUGAAUAGAUCAUCCCAACACAUGGCUUGGCAGAUUUCUGCUGAAAAAGGAAGAACAUGAGUCAAAGAGCCACUGGCCCGACACGAGGAGCUCCAACACUUCUGCCCAACCACCCAUCUAGAGCCUUGGUGAGCCCUGCUGAGAUGAGCUGAACCCCUGCUAGCCUGCAGAGCUGUCAGUCCAGCUUGGAUGGGAAAGUGACACCCAACACUCACAGAAUGUCUUAUGGAAGUGCCGGGACUAGAAACUGAAUCGUUCCCAUCUCCAAGAGCACCA